rnacentral:rRNA from 1 species
UACGGAGGGAGCUAGCGUUGUCCGGAAUUAUUGGGCGUAAAGAGCUCGUAGGCGGUCUGUCGCGUCUGCUGUGAAAACUCAGGGCUUAACCCUGAGCUUGCAGUGGGUACGGGCAGACUAGAGUGCGGUAGGGGAGACUGGAAUUCCUGGUGUAGCGGUGAAAUGCGCAGAUAUCAGGAGGAACACCGGUGGCGAAGGCGGGUCUCUGGGCCGUAACUGACGCUGGAGGAGCGAAAGCAUGGGGAGCGAACAGGA